UAUGGCCAUAUCACGUUGAAAAAAGCGGUUUCUGUACAAUCACCGAAGUUAAGCAUCGUCUUUCCUGGUCAGUACCAAGGUGGGUGACCGCUUGAGAAUGCCAGGUG